UACAUAUGUACAUUCAUAUGUAGUUCCAAUAAUUAGUUGUCCACUGCUCCCAAGUUACCCGUAACUAUAUAACGGAAGCAGUUAAAAUCAACAUUUUUGUUGCAGGCGAUCAAGCCUCUUUUGGGGGCAGUCAUUGAGUAAAGGCGCAGAAGGGACGCUAACGUGACUUGCCGCGUCAAGCAAGGACCUCACUUACAUAUUAGACGUUCUCUUAAGGUCGUAUUCGGGGCAAAUAAAUUUUGCUACCGCUGGCUAGUAUCCGCCCCUCGCUAAUAUAAUACAAUGAUUCAUAGACAUGGACAUAUUUUAGAACCAGUCUUUACUAUAAAAACUUGAAGUCCUCUAAAGAAACUGAUUUUUGGUAGGAGAUAGUUGCUGAGUUUCAAAAAGUUACAACAAUUGGCAAACAUAUUUACAUUUUUGUAUAAGUAUAUGUAAAGGGAAAUCCUCUCGAACCUCCAAGGGGCCUUACUGACUUCUAAUCCAUACCGUAGCCGUCUCAGUGAUUUUCUUCCUCUUGAUUGGCGCUGUAGCCACUUAAGUGAUUUUGGCCGAGUCCAAUAAAGUACGCCAGUGCCAACUUACGAAAAUUGGAAAUGUUCCCUGCUACUAGAAGCGCGUCCCACAUUUAAUACUUUCAGAACUAGAAUUAUUGUAAGAAUAACCUAACCAUUAAACGAAAACUAUCCGAUCAUGAAGACUGAAGUUUCCCGUAAAAGAAACUGGAAAUAUAACGCAACCGACGAGCUGGUUUCGAUAUUAUGGUAAGAAUAUUGAGCCUCAAAUCUCAUCUUUCUUAUUAACGUUCAGACUGCGGCUAAGGGUCUUAGCUGGUCAACGAAAAACCAGAUAUGAGAUAAUCUCUUAGACAACACAUUGCUUCGGGAAGUGAGGAAGCUGACGAGUGCGCGAGUGGAGGGACUCCACAUAGCCACUUGUAUAAUACAGCAACAGCUCGUUUUUCGUUUAUAGGAAAAUAUAUCGGCUUUUGAUUGCCCUUCACUCUUUUCGUUACCACUUCAAGAUUUUUCAGACACUUCAAGAUUUGUCGGACUUCUCAUGAUUUUUGAACAGUUCAAGAUUUGUCGGACUUUUUAGAUUUUGCACGACUUCAAGAAUUUUCGGGCGCAUUACACAGAAAAAUCUUCCGUUAUCUAGGAGGACCUAUAUAGCUGUGACACCAUCUUAUUCAAGAAAAUACAUAGCUUCGUCAAAAUAUCACGAUGAUUUAAAGGUCUGCAGAAAAAAAGUUUUAAAGAUAAAUUUUCGCCACUGGGUUCGCCCAGCCCGCCUAACCUAACUAUCCAAGAAAGAGAGGAAUACUAUUUUCAAAACCUUUGUUUCUAUAUCCAUCUGAAUAUUUUUUUUAAUCCUAGUUUAAUUUGCUGCCAGCCGUGAAGACCAAUUCCAUUCAAAUCUAAGCUGAAGUGCACUGCAAACACAGAGUUGCGUCUAAAAGGUAUUGGCCAAAUUUAUCAGAAACACAUUUUAUAAUCGGAAAAAAAUAGUCUUAACCAAAAUGUUUUUCAAACUCCAAACCAAUAGCUCAGAUAUUCAGUCGAAGCGUUUCAAUAGCGGGAAUUUUAACAACAAUUUGUAUUGGAACACUCGUAAAGUAUUCGCAUUCCUACUCAGGGUGAAUAAUAAAAACACAUAUGACAUAUACUUCGCGAAUUAUACAACAGGAAAAAUAUAUUAAAAAAAAAAAACAAUAAACAAUAAAGAACGAAAUGUUUCAAGUGUCAACUUAAACCUUUUUUUCCAUAAAAUUUAGAAAUAAAUUUUUCACACGCAAAAAGUAAAGUCGAGAAAUUUAUACACACAGCAUAAAGUAAAUAAAACCGAAAUAAAUAGUAAUAGUUAACGAAAAAUAUUUAACUUAAAGAAAAAUUCCCAAAACAUGGCACGCCUACUUCAAACUUUUACUUUUGAGGAACAAAAAAAAUACAGGAGCAAGAAAAAUAUCUUAACCAUGCAAAGAAAAACACCAAAUUUUAAAGGCAGUAAAAUUUAAAUAAUAACGGAAACUUUGUAAAAAUAUUCAACGUAGAAAAACUUAUACAUACAUUUGUAUAGAGAAAAGGCAAAGAAUUUUACCACCUCAGCGAAAUAAACCAAAACAAUGUAAUGCCGAUAAUUUAGUAGGAUGAAAAUUAUUUUAAAAUAUUGCAAAAACAAAUAAAUAACAUACGUAUGUAAAUACAAUGAAAAAGAACAAAUGCAUUUUUUUUUUUAAUUUUUGGUAUCUUUCUCUCCUUUUGUAUGAUAACUGUUUUCCAAUGCUAAUUGCAAAAAAAAAUAAAACAUAAAAAUAUAAAAAUAAAAAAAAAUAUAAUACAAUAUUAAAAAAGCAUAAUUCAGGAAAGCCAAAUAUUUCGGCACAAGGUAUUAAAUAAUAAAUUAUAGUUUAACGGCAAAUUAAAAGGAUAAAGUGUAUAAAAAAUUGCACCCGAAAAAAAUAGUAUGAAAAAAAAAAUAUAUGAAUACUUAAUAACAAAUCUGUUAGUAUGUAUGCAUGUAUAUCGUAGCGAAGCGUAGCACCGAAUAUACAUAGUAAAAUGAAAAUUAAAUCAAGCAUUACUUAAUUAUAUAAAAAUAACACAAAUACACUUAUUUGUUAAAUGCAUUUGUAUGUGUGAAUGAAUGUACAGUGAAUAGCAGAAAACAUAUUGUAAUAAUUAUUAUAAUAAUAAUAAUAAUAAUAUUGUAAUAAUAAACGCAUGCAUAUGUACAUACAUGUUUCACAUUUGUAACCUUAAAUUGUUUUGAAAAUAUGCAAUAAAAAUAUUAAAAUAAUUUA